ACUCCAGUGGCGCAGUGGCUAGCGCGCCGUUCUUAUAAGGCUCGUCAGAUCUUUAUGGCCUCGUCUGGUAAUGCGGAUGCCGUGGGUUCGACCCCCACCUGGAGUA